rnacentral:rRNA from 1 species
CCUACGGGAGACAGCAGUGGGGAAUAUUGGGCAAUGGUCGGGAGACUGAACCAGCCAAGCCGCGUGAGGGAUGAAGGUACAGAGUAUCGUAAACCUCUUUUGUCAGGGAACAAAGGCGGGGACGCGUCCCCGGAUGAGUGUACCUGAAGAAAAAGCAUCGGCUAACUCCGUGCCAGCAGCCGCGGUCAUACGGAGGAUGCGAGCGUUAUCCGGAUUUAUUGGGUUUAAGGGGGGGGCAGGGGGUCUGUUAAGUCAGAGGGAAAAGCCCGGGGCACAACCCCGGCCCGCCGUUGAAACUGGCAGUCUCGAGUGGGAGAGAGGGAUGCGGAAUGCGCGGUGUAGCGGUGAAAUGCAUAGAUAUCGCGCAGAACUCCGAUGGCGAAGGCAGCAUGCCGGCUCCACACUGACGCUGAGGCACGAAAGCGUGGGUAUCGAACAGGAUUAGAUACCCGAGUAGUC